rnacentral:tmRNA from 1 species
GGGGGUGAAUGGUCUCGACUCCGGACGUCGAGGCAGGGGAAGCGGGCCGAGGAAGGCGACGAUGAUCUCGUUAACCACGAAAUGUCGCAACCAAAUCAAGCGCCGACGUCAGUCAGCGUGAUCUUGCUCUCGCUGCCUAAGUAGCGAAGCAGGUCUGUCAGUCCGGGAGCGCCUCCGGCCCGGAAUCUGGCAUCGCUAGGAGGAUCACCGCCGGACCCGGCUGCGGGGGACGGCGGAACAUCUCACAGCAGCUGGGCCCGUCGCACCGACCUGUGCGCAGGAUCGGUGGGGCCGAGUAGGACGACGCGCACUACGCCCGUAGAAGCCCUGUUGAGCCGCCGGAGGACGCGGG